rnacentral:lncRNA from 12 species
CUUCCUUCAGCUUGAGGCCAUCCCCCUUGUCCUACCCAACUUGCAAGGCCAGCUCUCACAAACAGGUGGAAAGGGCAGCUUCCCUUCCCAGGGUGAUGGGAAAUUCUCAUUUUGGGAUUGUUCCAUCAGCCGUAGGCAUGGCCAGAGCUGGGAUUUGUGAGGCUGGAUUUAGGACUGGGAUGCUUGGUGAUUUGGAAUGGCAGGGAAGGGUUUUCCUGGCUGGAGAAGCAGUGAGGAUGAGGAGGAUGGGAGUGGCUGCAGAGCACAGCUCCCUGUCACUGCAGCUGACACUGAUUUUUGGCACAGCAAGACAAGAGUGGUUCAGGAACCCCUUUUCCUUCUCUCCACAGCCGCCUCCCAAGCUGCCAAGUGGAGUCUUCACACAAGAUUUCCAGGAGUUUGUAAAUAAAUGCUUAAUUAAAAACCCAGCAGAACGAGCAGAUCUGAAGAUGCUGAUGGUGAGUGGGGAGAGGGUUUUGCUGCUGCACUGGGCUGGCACCAGCUCUGCCAGCUGCUGCCCCAUCCCUCCUGCUCCAGAGGCUGGGAAUUGCCAGGAUGAGGCAGAGGGAGGGGCUGAGCCCCUCUGACCCAGGGGCAGUGCUGGAUCUCUGCUGGGGUCCUGCCCACACCCUGCUGGGACAGGCCUGGCUCCUCACUUGACAAAAUGUCCUGGUUUUUUUUUUUUUUUUUUUUUUUUUUUUUUUUUUUCUGCUGUGAUUUGGGGUUUCCUGGGUUGAUUUGGGGGUUUAUGUGAGAAGCCAGUGGUGACCUGGGCUGACCCCAAAGGGCAGCAGGGGAGGGGGGAGGAUUCUGGGGUUCAGGUGAGACCCCACCUGCAGAGCAGCCUCCAGCUCUGGGACCCCAAAAUAAGGAGCUGGAGCUGCUGGAGAGAGCCCAGAGGAAUCCAGGGAGCUGCUGCAGGGCUGGAGCCCCUCUAGAGCCAGGCUGGGAGAGCUGGGGAGGAGAAGGAUCUAGAGAGAGCUCAGAGCCCCUCCAGAGCCUAGAGGGGCUCCAGGAGAGCUGGAGAGGGACUGGGGACAAGGGAUGGAGGGACAGGACACAGGGCAUGGCUCCCAGUGCCAGAGGGCAGGGGUAGCCACUGGUCACACUGGUUUAGGCUGUACUUGCAUUGAUUUGAGCACUUUGUGCCACCUCUGUCCCCAAACAGCCCCUCAACCUGGAAAAUUAUCAAAUUAUCCUCCAGGUAUUGCUUUUUUUUUCUCGGGAUACAUUUUAGUGAGCCUGACUUCCCUCCCUGGCUUUGCUGUGCUGGGACUCUGGGCUGGCAGAGCCCUAAUUACCAAGGGCUGGGAUUUGUAAUUCCUGGCACAGCAACAGCUUUAAUGGAUUUGUUCAGUUCCUUUUUAUCAGCCUUUCCAGCCUGCCUCUUAUCUCAUUACUCUGGGGAGGGCUGAGAUGGGAUUAAGAGGAGGGAGACAGAAACCCCGGAGCUGGGGUGGAUCGAUAGAGAUCCACCAGGGAGAGAUUUCAGGGGUGAGGGAUGGGGUGGAGCCCGGCCUGGGGGGAAGGAGCUGCCCUGGAAUGGCAGCUCAGGGACCCAGGAAUGUGUCCCAGCGGUCAGGGAACCUGCUGGGCUGGGUGAAAGUGAAGCACAUCUGACACUUGGCCUCCUGCACAUCCGACACUCGUCCUGACUCAGCUCUUCCACGAAUAUCUCGGCUGGGUGAAACUUUCCCAGGCUUCCCCAAAAGGAGCAUCCAAAGGAGCCUCUCAGUGCUCUCCCUCUCCCUGAGGAUGUGUGGGGCAUGUUGGUCGCUGUUUGGGACUCAGGAUGGAGCUGGAGGGAUGAGCUGCUGGAGCAAUCAGGAUGCAGAGUCUGGAAACUUCUCUGAGGCUCCCAAGGGGGUGGAGAACAGGUCUUGUGGGAGCAGGUUUUCCUGCACCUGCAGCAAUCCCAGGACAAUGACCUUUUCCCUGAAUGCUGCCAAGCUCCUGGUGCAUCCUCCUUUUUCUUUUUUUUUCCUGAUCCUUGUAGGCAGAAGGGGAGGAUGUGCUCAGGGCAGGGUUUGGAGGAGAUUUCAUCUUCCUGGGGGCAAGGAGCAAGUGUUGGGCACAGAAGCAUCCACUGACACUUGGUGUGGUUUUGAGAAUUUUCUUGCAGCAGCAUUUUCUUGAACCCAGUGACACAAAAACGGGUUCAUCCCCUGGAGCAGGAGGGUCCUUCCCUUGCAGGGCUUUGCCUGCAUUCCUGAUUCCUGCCAGCCAUGGGAAGGGGAUUCUGUCCUCCCUCCCAGCCAGCUGGGAUCAGCGUGGGGAGCACUCUGGUGCACGUGGACACUGAGGAAUUUCUGUGGCGUGGCUGCUCUCCAGCCAGGAGUGAAGAUGCAGCUCCUUGGUCCCGGUUUUCCUUUAAUCCACUUCUUCCCCUUCUGCCUGGAGGCUCUGAAGAGCACCCAGGACUCUCCUGGGGACCCCUCUUCUCGGGCACUUCAUUUCUCCACACGCUUUCCCAGGCUUCCCCUUCCCACAAAAACCUGGGAACAACUUUCUCUUCACCUGGCACUGGGCACAGAUCUCUGCUCAUUCUCUCUCUCCUCCCUUUCCCUUCCCCUAAUUCCCUCCUUUAAUUUGCCUUUGCUUAUUUUGAAUACAAAGCUCCUCCAUCGCAGUGUUUACAGUUCACAAAGCCUCGGGCCCAUUGCUUAUUCUCCUUCUUACAUCCCUGCUUAACUGCCUUGGCUCCCUGUGCCCUUUCCCCGCUUCCAGAGUAGCCAGGAUGAAUCCCAGUCCCUGUCCCCAGCUGUCUGCCUGCACAGUUCCCAUCUCCCAGGAAUCCCCUUCCCAGGCACUGCGCUGCCUCGCUGCCUGCACAGUUCCCAUCUCCCAGGAAUCCCCUUCCCAGGCACUGCGCCGCCUCACUCACAAACCCUCCUCCUUCUCACCCCUUCAAAAUUCCUUUCCCUGGACUCAGCCUCUCUCGGGAGCCUCCCAGGCUCGGCACAGCCUUGAGGCAGGUCCCUGUCACCUG